rnacentral:rRNA from 1 species
GAUGAACGCUGGCGGUAUGCUUAACACAUGCAAGUCGAACGGUACCUUCGGGUAUAGUGGCGGACGGGUGAGUAACGCGUGAGAAUCUAUCUUCAGGUCGGGGACAACAGUUAGAAAUGACUGCUAAUACCGGAUGUGCCGAAAGGUAAAAGAUUUAUUGCCUGAAAAAGAGCUCGCGUCAGAUUAGCUAGUAGGUGGUGUAAGAGACUACCUAGGCUUCGAUCUGUAGCUGGUCUGAGAGGACGAUCAGCCACACUGGAACUGAGACACGGUCCAGACUCCUACGGGAGGCAGCAGUGGGGAAUUUUCCGCAAUGGGCGAAAGCCUGACGGAGCAAUACCGCGUGAGGGACGAAGGCUCUUGGGUCGUAAACCUCUUUUCUCAAGGAAGAUUCAGACGGUACUUGAGGAAUAAGCAUCGGCUAACUCUGUG